AUUAACAAAGCUAAUUAAAAUUUAUUCAUUAACAAAGCUAAUUAAAAACUCUAUUUCUUUUUUAUUUUAAAAAUUGGUUAUUAAAGAUGACAGUUGGGGCUGCUAUUGUGUUGUUGAUGGAAAAUUUUCUCAAUAUGUCGACCUUUUCAAGGACACAAAGAAAUAUUAUAUAACAGUUUUUAAAAGAGAUGUUUUGGAAUUUAAAUGUAUUUUUAUUAUUAUUAAUGAGAAAUGAAUUAACUUAAUUCUUUUAAAAACAUUUUAAAUUCUAUUUAAAAAAAGUACCAAA
rnacentral:lncRNA from 1 species